UGCAGUCGAACGCUUCUUUUUCACCGGAGCUUGCUCCACCGGAAAAAGAGGAGUGGCGAACGGGUGAGUAACACGUGGGUAACCUGCCCAUCAGAAGGGGAUAACACUUGGAAACAGGUGCUAAUACCGUAUAACAAUCAAAACCGCAUGGUUUUGAUUUGAAAGGCGCUUUCGGGUGUCGCUGAUGGAUGGACCCGCGGUGCAUUAGCUAGUUGGUGAGGUAACGGCUCACCAAGGCCACGAUGCAUAGCCGACCUGAGAGGGUGAUCGGCCACAUUGGGACUGAGACACGGCCCAAACUCCUACGGGAGGCAGCAGUAGGGAAUCUUCGGCAAUGGACGAAAGUCUGACCGAGCAACGCCGCGUGAGUGAAGAAGGUUUUCGGAUCGUAAAACUCUGUUGUUAGAGAAGAACAAGGAUGAGAGUAACUGUUCAUCCCUUGACGGUAUCUAACCAGAAAGCCACGGCUAACUACGUGCCAGCAGCCGCGGUAAUACGUAGGUGGCAAGCGUUGUCCGGAUUUAUUGGGCGUAAAGCGAGCGCAGGCGGUUUCUUAAGUCUGAUGUGAAAGCCCCCGGCUCAACCGGGGAGGGUCAUUGGAAACUGGGAGACUUGAGUGCAGAAGAGGAGAGUGGAAUUCCAUGUGUAGCGGUGAAAUGCGUAGAUAUAUGGAGGAACACCAGUGGCGAAGGCGGCUCUCUGGUCUGUAACUGACGCUGAGGCUCGAAAGCGUGGGGAGCAAACAGGAUUAGAUACCCUGGUAGUCCACGCCGUAAACGAUGAGUGCUAAGUGUUGGAGGGUUUCCGCCCUUCAGUGCUGCAGCUAACGCAUUAAGCACUCCGCCUGGGGAGUACGACCGCAAGGUUGAAACUCAAAGGAAUUGACGGGGGCCCGCACAAGCGGUGGAGCAUGUGGUUUAAUUCGAAGCAACGCGAAGAACCUUACCAGGUCUUGACAUCCUUUGACCACUCUAGAGAUAGAGCUUCCCCUUCGGGGGCAAA
rnacentral:rRNA from 1 species